GAUGAACGCUGGCGGCGUGCCUAAUACAUGCAAGUCGAGCGAACGGACGAGAAGCUUGCUUCUCUGAUGUUAGCGGCGGACGGGUGAGUAACACGUGGAUAACCUACCUAUAAGACUGGGAUAACUUCGGGAAACCGGAGCUAAUACCGGAUAAUAUUUUGAACCGCAUGGUUCAAAAGUGAAAGACGGUCUUGCUGUCACCUAUAGAUGGAUCCGCGCUGCAUUAGCUAGUUGGUAAGGUAACGGCUUACCAAGGCAACGAUGCAUAGCCGACCUGAGAGGGUGAUCGGCCACACUGGAACUGAGACACGGUCCAGACUCCUACGGGAGGCAGCAGUAGGGAAUCUUCCGCAAUGGGCGAAAGCCUGACGGAGCAACGCCGCGUGAGUGAUGAAGGUCUUCGGAUCGUAAAACUCUGUUAUUAGGGAGGAACAUAUGUGUAAGUAACUGUGCACAUCUUGACGGUACCUAAUCAGAAAGCCACGGCUAACUACGUG
rnacentral:rRNA from 1 species